rnacentral:rRNA from 1 species
GAUAAACGCUGGCGGCGUGCCUAAGACAUGCAAGUCGAACGAGGGACCUUUGUAGUAAUACGGAGGUUUCCUAGUGGCGAAUGGGUGAGUAACGCGUUGGUGACCUGCCCCAAAGUGAGGGAUAACAGUUCGAAAGGACUGCUAAUACCCCAUGUGGUCAACGGGAUUAGAAACCGUUGACUAAAGGAGCAAUUCGCUUUGGGAAGGACCUGCGUCCCAUCAGCUCGUUGGUAGGGUAACGGCCUACCAAGGCUACGACGGGUCGGGGGCCUGAGAGGGUGGCCCCUCACAAUGGAACUGAAACACGGUCCAUACACCUACGGGAGGCAG